AGAUGUUUUGGGACUACAAUUCCUAUCAUCCCUGACCACUGCUCCUGUUAGCUAGGGGUGAUGGGAGUUGUAGUCCCAAAACACCU
rnacentral:miRNA from 1 species